AGUGUCGUAGAACUCUGGGACAAAGCGCCUCCGGGCACCGCGUCUCCUCCCAUCAGACAACGGCACGUCUCUUGUCUCUGCACCGACGACGAUGACCGCGAGUCGUGCAGCUUUCGUUUCGACAACGCAGUGCGGGAACCGUAGCGACUUCAUGACUGCCUCAGAGCCAUCUAUGACUGCCUUUGCUUGACUGACGGACGUCGAGGGCGAAGCAGAGCGAAGAGCGAAGAUGCUGCAAUCCGCUGCCUUGCCACAAGUGCCCGUGCUGCAAGUUCAUUCGUAACCCCUGUGGAGAGGGAUCCAACCGAAAUGGAGAAAGUAGGGGCUGACGAGCUGCGUUGAAGCUGCUAAGUUUAUGAGUGCGAAACAGCGCGGAAGCCGACAGGAGGGGACAGAAGAGGACACACAGUUUAUUCCAACAGUUUAUUUCUUUUGAAUGCAUUCGCUGUUGUACACUUACACACUGUCACACCAGCCAUGCGCGGAACACAAUGCUGUUACAAUUCAUCACGUGGACAAACCUAAAUAGAUAUUUUCCCUAUCAGUGAGAGUGACAGAGGGGGUACUUACACAAUCAUCCUUUAAAGAAAAUAUCUUACCAGCCUCAAUGAUUUCGUGUGUGAUGCGAUCUCUGCUUUUGGCGACAAUGCUACAAUCUGAAUAUCUUGGUCAUGUUGUACCAACACGUCCAAUCCUACAGUCUGCUAAGUUUCAUCUGCCUAAACGACCUAUACCUCGCGAUAGGUGGUGACUUCAGCGUUAACCUUUUGCAAAAUACCAAAUGCGCACGUGAUCUGCAACUUAUUCUUCAGUCAUUUCAUUGUAGAAAUGUGAUAAGAACACUUACACACCUUAGCAACACUUCCGAUAGCCUCCUUGACCUUUUUAUAACAAGCUGUACUAACGAAGAGACGAAAGCAGGUACUAUCAUAGCUGACAUGGGGGAUCAUUUGUUAAUCUAUAUGUUCUGUCCAUUCAGUGCAGCUUCUGCGGGUGCUCGUCACUCCAAGGCUUUUUCUGUGCAGGAAAUAAACUGUAAAACGCUAAGCAUGUUCCGUAAUAAACUUGGAAAUGUAGACUGGACAACUGUGUUUCAGUGUACUGACCCUAAUAAAGCAUAUAGCACGUUCCUGCAAAUUUUGAAAGGUGUCAAUGAGAAGUGUUUUAAGUUUAAAACCAUUCGAAAAUGCGCAAAAAGUCGCAAACCUUGGCUUAAUAAUGGGUGCGCAGUUAUGAUACGCAAGAAGAACUCGCUUUGUCAAAACAAGGGACCCAGGUAAGUUUGCAGCAUUCAAGAAACAUCGCAACCAGGUAACAAAGUUCUUGAGACAUAUACUAAAACAGUUUAUUUUGAAAACCUUUUCAGUCAAAUAAGUAGUCAGAGCGACUUGCUUUGGCGCGAAAUUAACCUGUUGUUAAACCGCAAUAAUCGCAAGACUGAUGAGCUUGAGCUAAUACAUAAUCACAGGACCAUAAAAGGCCUAGAACUUGCAGAAAAGUUUAACGAGUAUUUUACAAGUUUGGAAAAAAGCUAUUUUAAUAUUGCCGCAACUGAAUUUCUAGGUCCGCGCCAAUGCACAUACAGCUUUUUUUGCGCCCACAACUUCAGAUGAAGUCUCUCAAGCUUUUAUGUCCUUAAAAAUAGCAAAGCACGUGACAUAAACGGGUUACAGAUAAAACCAAUCAAGUUUGUGGCUGACAUCUUAUCACCUGCACUUACUCACAUUUUUAACCUUUCAAUAUCUGCUGGAAUCUUUGCUCAGGAAAUGCAAUAUGCGAAAGUUAGCGUCAUUUUCAAACCUGGUGACAGAAAUACGUUCUUGAACUAUCGGCCAGUGUCUGUUCUCCCUGUUAUAUCAAAAGGAUUGGAAAAAAUAAUUUGCAAAAGAAUUAUGGCUUUCUGUGAUAAACACUUGAUCAUAACGGCGCAGCAGUAGGUUUCCGUGAAGGAAUGUCAACAGAACUUGCCCUACUAACACAAAAGGAGUUAAUCUUGAACAGUUUUGAAAAUAAACAGUUUACGUUGGGUAUUUUUGUAGACUAUUCUAAGGCGUUCGACUGCCUGAAUCACCGCACUUUAUUUACAAAACUAGAGCGUGACGGACUGUGUGGCACUCCUUUUACGUUACUGAUUUCAUAUCUAAAGCACAGAAAGCAAUGUGUUGCCAUCAUGUCAGAACAAUCUACACUGAAAGAAAUAACUCAAGGAGUACCGCAAGGUAGCAUACUGGGGCCCAUACUAUUCAACAUCUACAUCAGUGAUAUAACAAACAUUUCUAAUGGCGCCAACUUCAUAGUUUAUGCAGAUGAUACCAGCAUUUUCUUGAGAUCAAGCGAUAUCAAUAGUCUCUCGGUCAUCUCUAAUACUGCACUAAAAUACUUGGCCGAAUGGAGCUCCGUUAAUUCACUAAAACUGAAUACAGCAAAAACUAAGGCGGUCCUUUUCACCCUGCCGCAACGACAUGAUUUUAAAGAUUUGAGAUUGAAGCUUGGAUCUGAUUGCAUAGAACUUGCAUCAAACGUCAAAACCUUGGGAGUUGUUUUUAAUAAUCAUCUUACUUGGAAUGAUCAUGCUGGUGAUAUCGCCACACGUUUAGCGAAAGCCUGCGGGGUGCUCUGUAGACUGCACUAUACUUUACCGCGUAGCGUUAAACGCAUGAUUUAUAACACCCUAUUUUCCCCUCAUUUAACGUAUUAAGCCAGUUUACAUAGGUUGAGUGUGCUUCAGAAAAAAGCAGUUCGCCACAUAGCAAAUGCUCAGUAUGACGCCCAUACUGGAGAGCUAUUUUCCACCCUUAAGAUCUGCCCGCUUGAGGAGUUCUAUAAUCUUAACCUCACUCUAAAAUGCCAAAAAUACUUCCGAUGAAACAACAAAAGUUUUAUGUCGUUAUGCAACGUGACUAUACCCAAAGCUAUCUCACAUAACAUAACGGAGAGAGACAAGUGGCUCAUACCUUUCUCGCGCAUGAAAUAUGGAAUGAGCAGCUUGUCAUACCGUGUGCCAUGCUUGCUCAAUGAAUUUGAAAGAAAUGGCAUUCGCAUAGAAAACUCUUCAAGAAAUGCAGUGAAGCGAUACGUGGUUGAGCACUUGUCUUCAAAGCCGUAGUGCACGCUAUGCUAUUUCUAUAAAACGAUUUGCCUGUUGCAUUUUCUGUUCUAGACAUUUCAGUUCUUUUUGAAAUUGAAUUAUACACAUGCUUUAUUUUUCCAUAAGCGUAGUUAUGAUGUUUAUAUAUGAAUGCAUAAUAGUCCUUUUAGCGUAUACAAGUUCUGUAUGUCUCAUUGUGUGAAAUAUUCUGUGCAUUCUCAUUAUUGUACAUUAUUUCCGCUUCCAUGAUGCACUGUUUUUCAUUUUUAACAUAUUUUGUUUGCUCAAAGAAACCGUGUACUUCAUAAUUGUCAUGUAUUAAUUUCGCUGUAUAUCUUUACUUUUGUUAACUACUCUGCUAGAUACGAGAACCAGAAAUGCCUAGUAGAAAUGUAGCACUAGAGAUGUUUCGAUACAUGGUACGUUGUUUUUUGGCUGUCAAUAAUUGGGGCAAGGACCUUUGUCAAGCUUCUGUAUAGCAGCUUUUUGUUGUUGUCCUCGUGUUCAUUAUCUUCCUGUAAUGAAUGCCAAAUAAAAUUGAUUGAUUGAUUGAUUGAUUGAUCGAUCGAUCGAUCUCAGAAG